rnacentral:lncRNA from 1 species
UUAUCUUUUAUACUUUCAAUCUAUCGCAUGUAAAGAGCCUGACAUUUAGAGAUGCUCAUCGGUUCAAAUGUUCAAAUUUGCUAUAUUGAAUACUAAUAUGUUGGUUAAGUGGGACAUUUUCAAUAUUAUCUUUUAUACUCGAAACUUUCAAUCUAUCGCAUGUAAAGAGCCUGACAUUUAGAGAUUAAAACAACUUAAAUGAACAAAACCAAAUCUUUAAGUGUCCAUCACAAAUCAAGUGGGUCUCAUUGGGGUCUAAGCGUGACGCGGGAUUGCCUAUUUUUUAUAAGCGUGACACGUGAACGUCAAAUUAUUGUGCCGUGAAAACGGGAAAUGAAGUCUAGCGGGACACGGGAAAAUGCAAAAAAAAAAAAAAUGAUAAUUGCCUAGGUACAUAGUGUAAGCGGGAUACGGGAAUCUAACAAAACAGUAAGCGGGAUCCGGGAUCAGAACCCCCCAAUGAGACCCCCAAUCAAGAGCCUUGUGUGUGAUCUCCUGUUUAAGAUUAAAGUGUUUUCUCUUUCUCUUUGUUUUUGUUUCAUUCUAUGUUUGGUUUGAUAGUUCCUGUUCAAUAAGUUAACGACAUGCUGUAAACGGAACUAACAAGACAACAGCCAAAAAGGGAACGUGUUAGCCCAGGCGAACAUAUAACUCUCGGAAUUAGAACUAACCAGUUUUUGUUCUUAUACUAUUACAUGCCGUGUGGUUCGCUGAAAAGUACAAGAACAAGAUUUUAAAGUAUUUAAAUU